rnacentral:tRNA from 1 species
GGGGAGAUGGCAGAGCGGUCAAUUGCAUCAGACUGUAAAUCUGACGCCUCACGGCUACGUUGGUUCAAAUCCAACUCUCCCCA